rnacentral:piRNA from 1 species
UGCCCACCAGAAGCAUUGUGCUCGCUUGG